rnacentral:misc_RNA from 1 species
UACGGAGGGGGCUAGCGUUGUUCGGAAUUAUUGGGCGUAAAGGGCUCGUAGGCGGCCAACUAAGUCAGACGUGAAAUCCCUAGGCUCAACCUAGGAACUGCGUCUGAUACUGGAUGGCUUGAAUCCGGGAGAGGGAUGCAGAAUUCCAGGUGUAGCGGUGAAAUGCGUAGAUAUCUGGAGGAAUACCGGUGGCGAAGGCGGCAUCCUGGACCGGCAUUGACGCUGAGGAGCGAAAGCUAGGGGAGCAAACGGG